AUUUGACGAGCAAGCUUAAGCCGAUAGGCGUAGGCGCAGCGAAAGCGAGUCUGAAUAGGGCGUCCAAGUUCGUCGGAUUAGACCCGAAACCUAGUGAUCUAGCCAUGGUCAGGUUGAAGGUGGGGUAACACCUACUGGAGGACCGAACCGGUGUCUGUUGAAAAAGCCUCGGAUGAACUGUGGCUAGGGGUGAAAGGCCAACCAAACUGGGAAAUAGCUGGUUUUCCGCGAAAGAUAUUUAGGUAUCGCCUCGCGUGAAUGCUUUGGGGGGUAGAGCACUGGAUGGGCUAGGGGGACUUACCGUCUUACCAAACCUAACCAAACUCCGAAUACCCAAAAGCACUACUCGGGAGUCACACGGUGGGUGCUAACGUCCAUCGUGGAGAGGGAAAAAACCCUGACCAACAGCUAAGGCCCCUAAUUCGUGGCUAAGUGUGAAAGGAUGUGGGAAUCCCAUAACAACCAGGAGGUUGGCUUAGAAGCAGCCAUCCUUUAAAGAAAGCGUAACAGCUCACUGGUCUAAACAAGGAUUCCUGCGCCGAAAAUGUAACGGGGCUCAAGCCACGAGCCGAAGCUUUGGGUGUGUCAGUCCUGCGGGAUUGAUACGCGGUAGCGGAACGUUCUGUAAGCCCGUGAAGGGAGACCCGUGAGGGCUCCUGGAGGUAUCAGAAGUGCGAAUGCUGGCACGAGUAACGAAAAACAGUGUGAAAGACACUGUCGCCGAAAGUCCAAGGGUUCCUGCGUAAAGCUAAUCUGCGCAGGGUUAGCCGGUCCCUAAGGCGAGGCCGAAAGGCGUAGUCGAUGGGAAUGCAGUCAAUAUUCUGCAGCCAGUGGGUAGUGACGAAUUCCGUAAGUUGUUCUCUCUUAUUGGAUUGAGAGGGCUGCGAAGGAGUUCCAGGAAAUAGCUCCCACAUAGACCGUACCCGAAACCGACACAGGUGGACUGGUAGAGAAUACCAAGGCGCUUGAGCGAACUAUGUUGAAGGAACUCGGCAAUUUACCUCCGUAACUUCGGGAUAAGGAGGACCCUUUGUUGGGCAACCAGCUAAGGGUGGCACAGACCAGGGGGUGGCGACUGUUUAACAAAAACACAGGGCUCUGCGAACUCGGAAGAGGACGUAUAGGGUCUGACGCCUGCCCGGUGCCGGAAGGUUAAGAGGAGGGGUGCAAGCCUUGAAUCGAAGCCCCGGUAAACGGCGGCCGUAACUAUAACGGUCCUAAGGUAGCGAAAUUCCUUGUCGGGUAAGUUCCGACCUGCACGAAUGGCGUAACGACUUCCCCGCUGUCUCCAGCAUAGGCUCAGUGAAAUUGAAUUCCCCGUGAAGAUGCGGGGUUCCUGCGGUCAGACGGAAAGACCCCGUGCACCUUUACUAUAGCUUUGCAAUGGCAUUCGUGACUGCUUGUGUAGGAUAGCUGGUAGACUUUGAAGCUCGGGCGCCAGCUCGGGUGGAGUCGAAAAGUGAAAUACCAGCCUAGUGGUUAUGGCUGUCUAACCGCGUCCCGUUAUCCGGGGCCGGGACAUUGCAUGGUGGGUAGUUUGACUGGGGCGGUCGCCUCCCAAAGAGUAACGGAGGCGUGCGAUGGUAGGCUCAGAGCGGUCGGAAAUCGCUCGUUGAGUGCAAUGGCAUAAGCCUGCCUGACUGCGAGACUUACAAGUCGAGCAGAGACGAAAGUCGGUCAUAGUGAUCCGGUGGUCCCGCGUGGAA
rnacentral:rRNA from 1 species